ACCUGGCUGGCUCAGUCACUAGAGCAUGUGGCUCUUGAUCUUGCAGUCUUGAGUUCGAGCCCCAUGUCAGGUA
rnacentral:tRNA from 1 species